rnacentral:rRNA from 1 species
UACGGAGGGUGCAAGCGUUAUCCGGAAUCACUGGGUUUAAAGGGUGCGUAGGCGGCUGUAUAAGUCAGAGGUGAAAGCCCGGAGCUUAACUUCGGAACUGCCUUUGAUACUGUAUAGCUUGAAAUAGGUUGAGGUCAGCGGAAUGUGGCAUGUAGCGGUGAAAUGCAUAGAUAUGCCAUAGAACACCAAUUGCGAAGGCAGCUGGCUGGACCUUAUUUGACGCUGAGGCACGAAAGCGUGGGGAGCGAACAGG